rnacentral:rRNA from 1 species
CUACGGGACGCACCAGUGGGGGAUAUUGCACAAUGGGCGAAAGCCUGAUGCAGCAACGCCGCGUGAAGGAUGACCGAUUUCGGUCUGUAAACUUCUAUCAGCAGGGAAGAAAAUGACGGUACCUGACUAAGAAGCCCCGGCUAACUACGUGCCAGCAGCCGCGGUAAUACGUAGGGGGCAAGCGUUAUCCGGAAUUACUGGGUGUAAAGGGUACGUAGGCGGCUGAUCAAGUCAGAUGUGAAAGCCCGGAGCUCAACUCCGGGAUUGCAUUUGAAACUGGUCGGCUAGAGUGCAGGAGAGGAAAGUGGAAUUCCUAGUGUAGCGGUGAAAUGCGUAGAUAUUAGGAAGAACACCAGUGGCGAAGGCGGCUUUCUGGACUGUAACUGACGCUGAGGUACGAAAGCGUGGGGAGCGAACAGGAUUAGAUACCCUAGUAGUC